GAUUUCAAGGGAGGUAGCCAGGUCACAGGUUCCCAACGAGAUUAGGAUCAAAGUAGGAGAAACCAGGAAGUUGGAAGGGGGAGUUCAGCUUAUAAACUCACCUGUAAAUAACAUUAAGGAAAAAGAAUAGACCCUGUUGCCCUUUCACUUUAAUCUCAAACUAUCAACCCCUGAAGUAGCAGCCAUCAGUCAAGGGUGAUAGAUCAACGUCAUCACUGCGCAAAGCGCUCACUUGUCAAAAUGAAAACAUCAUGUGGCUGCCCUUCACCUCCCACAGCUCAACAGCCUCCCAUUCAGUGACCUCCACCUGCAGCAUAAGAAAUCGCUAUGUAAUUAUUUAGUGGCGGGAGUGGAGGUAAGAGAAAUGGCUCCGCGGGGGGGGAGGGGGGGAGUUCAUCUCUUCAUCAUACCAUGAAUAACGUAACAGCUGAGAGGAUGACACUCGGCUUUAACUUAGCCUUAACUUAGCCUCACAUCACCGCUGCGUCACUCCUCAGGUGAGACUCCUUUCCGAAAAACACAGUGACACCUCUCGAAAACAUUUGGAAAGCGCUCCAUAUAAAGGUGAGCAAGUCGAGAU